rnacentral:tRNA from 1 species
GAGCACUUCGCCCAGUCUGGUAGGGCAUUUGAUUUCGGAUCAAAGGGUCGCGGGUUCAAAUCCCGUACUGUUCACCA